rnacentral:misc_RNA from 1 species
UUUUUUUUUUUUUUUUAAAACCAAUUCAAUAGGGAGAUUUUUAUCACUUUGCUUAGGCAACAUUUUUUUAUGGGCACAGCCUAUUGGUGGCUGAAUGUUGUUUUGUUAGUAUUCCUUUGUGCUGUAUUAGUGGUUUCGACGACUUGUCAAUAUUUUUUUAAGCAAAAAUGAAAAUCCUUCCUAAGGAAGGGAGGAAAUUGUGAAGGUAUAUUAAGGAACUUAGGUAUCCUUAUGUAGUAUAAAUAGAAUGUUAGGUAGAAAAAGCUUCUGUUUGUAGUCUAUUAUGGGGUUUAGUGGGAUGUUCCUUUCAAUUUCUUAAUUUUGUUGUGCUGGGCAAAGAGGCUAAAGUGUU